ensembl:lncRNA
UGGUAGAGGAGGGCUUUUCAGUACGGCUGCCCUGAGUAGCCGAAUGACCUUGGGCAAGCUACUUAACCUCUCUAUCACUUCAGUCCUUUGAUCUGUAAAAUGGCCACCCUAGUAGAAACCACCUCUUGGAGUUGUGAAGAUUUAAUGAGAUGAUACAGGUGAGCAACUGACUGAUUUCGGGCACGCGUCACCUGACCUCUCUGGGCCUCAGUUUCCUCCCCUGUAAGAUGGGACUGGUGUUGGCACAAAAGUUGGGAUGAAGAUGGUGUAAGGAGCUUGCAGAGCGCAUGCUCCAGAGCCGUAGUGAUGACCGUGGUAACGAGCAUCCCAUACCCCGAUGUCUCCCCAGGCUCGUGGCUCUGCGGGGGGCAGGAGGAGGCACGACGCCGCCUCUCAGGAAGACCACGACAAACCUUACGUCUGUGACAUCUGUGGCAAGCGCUACAAGAACCGACCGGGGCUCAGCUACCACUAUGCUCACACCCACCUGGCCAGCGAGGAGGGGGAUGAAGCUCAAGACCAGGAGACUCGGUCCCCACCCAACCACAGAAAUGAGAACCACAGGCGUGAGUGCCUACUUGUUAGGUUGGGGCAGUGAAGAAGUGGGUUAGGCAGGCUGGGGAGCGUUCCUUGUUCCUUUUUCUCACUGCUGCGCUGGCAUCUUCUGGUAGCAAACUUUGAGUGGUCUCAAUGUGCUGUAGUGCAUUGGCCCUUUCAGCCAGCCAGUCAGCUGCCCCUGCAGCUCAGCCCAACAAUAGCAGGGCUGGGCUCACACACCCUGCUCUGCUCCCAGAGGAAGGAAGGUGUUAAGCAGAAGAGAAAGUCCUUACCUGGCCACUGUCAGAUGCCAGACCUACAACUCUUUUCCCUCAGCUCCUCAAGAGCCACUCAGACUGGGUUGGGCAUAGGUCAUGGGUGUAUCAGUUCAGACAGACAUUCGAAAUGCCUGCUUGGCCACUAAGAGCCUUAGAGUAUUCUUAUCUAUUGGUGUGGUUUUGUUGUAGAGGGGAGGGGAUCACAUUUUGGUACAGGGCUCUCCUACCUUAGAAACGCUGCCUGGAGACCCCAUGUUCUUUGCUUCAGCAUUCAAAUGGCAAAUGUGAUCUGGGUGGAUUUGUUGUUUGGGAUGUUGGGCUCUCCAGACCCAAAGUGAUCCUGAAGAUUUGUGUUUCCAUUUCUGUGCUUUCCUACCUCAACUUCCAAUUAUGAAUUAGGGAAUCCAAAAGGGCUUAGCAUUUUCCACUUGACUUUCCUCUACAAUAUCCCGUGUGGUCUCUGGGCCUGCAGAAAUCUCAACAUAGAAAUGGGAUAAUGGAAUCUUUAGAGCCUGCUCGAAGAUACGGGCCACACUGAGCUCUCUCAGUGAAGAAUAUUCAUGGACAGGCCAUGUGUAUUUAAUUUUGUUCAGAAGAUUUGGUGGUAGGGAUUCUGAAAGUGAACAACUCAAUGCAAGGAAAGGGAUCAGACCUUUAAAAGUACUCAGAAUCUAAGAUUAGAGGAUGCGUGUUAGCCAUCGACUUAGUCAACUGACGUCCACUGGCCACUUCCACCAAACAUUUGAAAUAAUGAACACACCUGUGGCCAAGGUCAUUCUUCGGAUUAGUGUGGGGUCUCCCUUAACCUCCACCCCACUUUCCCUUGUAACAUUGCCUUCUUUAUGGAUUUGCUAGGGUUCUUAUAAGAAAACCCCAGAGACGGAGUGACUUAAACCACAGAAAUUAAUUUUCUCACGGUUCUGGAGGCUGGAGGUCUAAGGUCACGGUGCUGGCAGGGUUGUUUUCCUCUCCUUGGCUUGCAGAUGCUGCCUUCUCCUGUCCCCUCACACAGUUGUCCCUCUGUGCAUGUGUGCUCUGGCGUCUGCUUUUAUGUCCACGUUUCCUCAUCUUUUUUUUUUUUUUUUUUUUUGAGAUGGAGUCUUUCUCUGUUACCAGGCUGGAGUGCAGUGGUGUGAUCUUGGCCCACUGCAACCUCUGCCUUCCAGGUUCAAGCAAUUCUCCUGCCUCAGCCUCUCGAGUAGUUGGGACGAUAGGCACGCACCAUUACCCCUAGCUAAUUUUUGUAUUUUUAAUACAGACAGGGUUUCACCAUGUUGGCCAGGAUGGUCUCAAUCUCUUGACCUCGUGAUCCACCCGCCUCAGCCUCCCAAAGGGUUGGGAUUAUAGGCGUGAGCCGCCGUGCCCGACCCACGUCAGAUUGGAUAUUAGGGUCUAUCCUAACAAGCCCAUUUUAACUUUAUCUCUUUAAAUGCCUCUUUAAGGACCCUAUCUCCAAACCAAGUCACAGUCUGAGGUACCAUGGGUUACGCUUUCAACAUAGGAAUUUGGGAGUGGGGAGGGGAUGCAAUUCAGCCUUCAGCACCUUCUUGAAUUUUUGCUCACUUCCAAGGUGCAAACCUUUAGUGCGACAGACCCUUGCUUUCUCAUCUGCUGUGGUCACCUGGACAGAACCUGAACAGCAGAGCAGGAGGCGCCCCCCCGAGCCUUGCCCGCCUCUCCUUGCCAGGGACUGAGGAGCUCCAACACUAAGACCUUCUCUCUGGGAAGAGUUUUCCUUGGUCCAGUCACCCUUGUCUUUCAAAAAGGAAAAGAUACUGACCUGUACUGAGGCAGCCGAUACUUGCAUUUCCCUGUCUCUCCUCUUUUCCCUGGUCUAAGUGACCAAGAGGUCACACGGAACUGUUGUCUCCUACCACGAGGAGGCUGAGAAGAAUCUUCUUUGAUUUUGGUUGCUCCCUGAAAAGCGUUUCUUCGACAUUGUUGCGCUCUCUCAAGUGUUUAUUUGCUUGGUGGCCUUAUUUCUCACUCUCCUGUGCUAGCUUAU